rnacentral:misc_RNA from 1 species
CGUUGAGAGUGGAGUUCGGAGAACAAGGCGGGUUUGGCGUAUAAUCGGAAACAUAGCCGAAAUUGAGCUCAGUGACGUGAGCCGUUUGAGGAAGGGUAGAGGAAACGGAGUUGGGNNNNNNNNAGUAGUCGCAAACUAUGCCGUGAGGAGCAGAAAGGCAGAGGUCAUCAGGGAAGAGAGUACGCCAAGGAAUGGCUGAGUUGAUGGAGGAAAGGACCUCGUAGACAGAGUCUUGCUCGGUCGAGUC